rnacentral:rRNA from 1 species
AGAAUCAACGCUGGCGGCGUGCCUAACACAUGCAAGUCGCACGAGAAAGGGGAGCAAUUCCUGAGUAAAGUGGCGCACGGGUGAGUAACACGUGAAUCAUCUACCCUCGAGUGGGGAAUAACCUGGAGAAAUCCGGGCUAAUACCGCAUAACACUUACGAGUCAAAGCAGCAAUGCGCUUGAGGAGGAGUUCGCGGCCGAUUAGUUAGUUGGCGGGGUAAUGGCCCACCAAGGCGAUGAUCGGUA